UUGCUACUGCAGCACGUAUACUGAAAUUAGAUCCAUACAGAGAGAUUAGCAUGGGCCCUGUGAAAGGAUGACAUGCAAAUCUGUGAUGGAGUACGUACUGAU
ensembl:snRNA U6 U6 spliceosomal RNA